CUCUCCUGCGCAGUGCAGUUAUAGUGGCUAGAAAGCCACUAUAGUGCAGUUGCGCUGACUCUUUACGUUGGCAUCUUGUUAUCUUUCUAAGGUCAGCGCGAUUUCUCACAUGAAAUGUCUCCCAAUAUAAGCGGUAGUGAAACGCGCUCUUACACCACAACGCCAGCCAUCCUUGCUGUACGACACGUUUCUUUCCGCGCACCAGCGACCACCACUCGCCAAGCGAAACCAUGGACGUCUGCCCCCCGGUUGACCGCCUGGACGAUAUCCGGAAGAGCUUGGGCCUCUAGUCAACAUGCCAUUUCGAGCACUGCUUUUUAUCUUCGCUUCGCGAUCAUGACAUGAACACCCCGAAAUCAUCACGAACAACGAACGCUGUACGUCCAAUAUGAAUCCAUUAAAACAGCACCGGGCAUGUCACGCCGAAAUGAAAGCAAGGCUUUGAAGACGAAUAUUCACCAGAAUGUCGUGACAGAAGCGUCCAGAUGCCCGGAAGUGAUGAGAAGAAAGCAGUUCAUUACAGAGUUCAAUAAACUAUUUUGAAAAAAA